rnacentral:rRNA from 1 species
AUUGAACGCUGGCGGCAGGCCUAACACAUGCAAGUCGAGCGGGGACUUCGGUCCUAGCGGCGAACGGGUGAGUAAUGCUUGGGAAUCUGCCCAGUAGUGGGGGAUAACGUCCCGAAAGGGACGCUAAUACCGCAUACGUCCUACGGGAGAAAGAGGGUGAUCUUCGGACCUCUCGCUAUUGGAUGAGCCCAAGUCGGAUUAGCUAGUUGGUAGGGUAAUGGCCUACCAAGGCGACGAUCCGUAGCUGGUCUGAGAGGAUGAUCAGCCACACUGGAACUGAGACACGGUCCAGACUCCUACGGGAGGCAGCAGUGGGGAAUAUUGGACAAUGGGCGAAAGCCUGAUCCAGCCAUGCCGCGUGUGUGAAGAAGGCCUUCGGGUUGUAAAGCACUUUAAGCGGGGAGGAAGGUUCGCGGCCUAAUACGUCGCGGAAUUGACGUUACCCGCAGAAUAAGCACCGGCUAACUCUGUG